AUGUGCUCACACAUGGGCUGUCGAGAAUACUGCUUAGCUAGGGAGUGGGAGAGGUAGACGGUACUCUGGAGGAAGUGGUAAAAUGCUUUGAUCUCUAGAUGACCACCAGUGGCGAAGGCGGUCUACCAGAACACGUCCGACGGUGAGGGAUGAAAGCUGGGGGAGCAAACCGGAUUAGAUACCCGGGUAGUCCCAGCUGUAAACUAUGCAAACUCAGUGAUGCAUUGGCUUGUGGCCAAUGCAGUGCCGCAGAGAAGUCGUUAAGUUUGCCGCCUGGGAAGUACGUACGCAAGUAUGAAACUUAAAGGAAUUGGCGGGGGAGCACCACAAGGGGUGAAGCCUGCGGUUCAAUUGGAGUCAACGCCAGAAAUCUUACCCGGAGAGACAGCAGAAUGAAGGUCAAGCUGAAGACUUUACCAGACAAGCUGAGAAGUGGUGCAUGGCCGUCGCCAGCUCGUGCCGUGAGAUGUCCUGUUAAGUCAGGUAACGAGCGAGAUCCCUGCCUCUAGUUGCCACCAUUACUCUCAGGAGUAGUGGGGCGAAUUAGCGGGACUGCCGCAGUUAAUGCGGAGGAAGGAGGGGGCCACGGCAGGUCAGUAUGCCCCGAAAAUCG
rnacentral:rRNA from 1 species